GGUGGGAGUCGCGCGGAUUGGGGCGGGGACGUCCGGGGGUUUCCGCCGGCGGGGAGGUCGCAGCCCCCUGACCUUGCCUCGGAAUUCUCCCCUCAGUGCAAUGCCCUCUUCUCUCUGCCCUUUUCAAGGGCAGGGGGCGGGGCAAGCUCUCCCACUAGACACGCAGUCCGGCAGAACAAACUGUCGUAUCGGAAGCGCCCGGCGUACCUGUCGGCGAAGCCGUGGUUGCGCGGACUCCCGAUGGUGUUCCGGGCGCUUGUAUUUGGCUGUGUGCAUCCCGACUGUGCCGCGCUUCGGUGGGGGCCCCGCGGGCCGCGCUCGGCCGUCGGUUGCUCCUGCCGCCGCUCACCGGGAGCCCGGCACGCACGCAGGACUGGCUAGCUCCGGGAACGCAAGGAGCGGGGUCUCCUUCGCAGCACCUGUAGCUUUGCUUUAUCAUUACUCUGCAAAAUCCUCAGCUCCCCUGUGGACAUAGCACGUUUGGAUUCACCGGAGUCUGGCCUUUUGUGUACAUCUAUUGUAACGCAAGUCUGUUUUCCCAUUCCUUAACUUUUCCUGGGAUAAUUCUCAGAGGGAGGACUAUAUCCCCGCACCGCGCACAGCGCCGCUCUCAGGCAGAGCUGUCUCACCUGUGCGCCCACCUGCCCACCUCCCGCCUCUCACCGGUGUCUCUUCCACCGACCUCACAAUGUACAGAGCACGGCGCUGUGGUCCUGGCUUUGUUUGGGCGACAUACAUAAAAUCUAAAUUCGUAAAGGAAACAGUUCAUUGAUUGGAAAAGUAUCCGUAGACCGGAUUUCCAAAGUGAGAAUCCUGAUGACCAGUGCCAAGUACAGGCACAGUGUCGUUUGGUGACACACCCGCCAGUCGAAAUAGUAACUGACUUCCAGUUUCUUCAUUCAGCCGCAUGAUAAAAAGGGAUCACUGGAAAGACCCAAAGUGCAAUCUCUAUACCGAACACGGGACAUGAACUCACAGUCCACGACCUGGAGAUCAAGACUUGCAUGUCCUUCUGACUAAGCCAGCCAGGUGCCCCCAAAAGAAAAAUUUUUGAGUGAGUUUUGAAUAUGAGGUCAGAAUUUCAGCUUUUGACAUCGCACAUCACCAAUCUCAGGAAGUUCUGUCUUCUACGGUAAUAUGUUUAUGAACACACAACAUGUGUUCCUGUAACAGAGCUGUCAGAAAAUUUUGAGUAAAUGUAAACAUAAUACAGGAGAUACAGGAUUUAAUUCAUGGACAUUAGGAAAAAGCAGGAGGCUUAUGAAAGGUGAAUGAAAAUAAUAGCAUAUAUGAAAAAAAAACUAUAAAAAUUUUGAGAUAGAGGGAAAGCUUAGGACUAGCUCAAUGGAAAAUGGCCAGACUUGAGUUCAGAAAAGGGAAGGAGACCGUCUGGGUACAUAGCUUUCCUAGUGCACGAAGAAGCUUGGUCAAUAAACUGUAUUACAUUUUCCAGUCUCCGUAGCUCUUGGAUAUAGACUUCCAACAGCAGUAAGAGAACAAUUCUAGUCUACCUCUUGGGAAGUUACAUCCAUUAUUAAAGGUUUUAGCUUAGUAGAAUAUCUCAGGCUGCACGUAGCAGACAUAAACUGGUUAACUUCAGGAAAAGGGGGAAGUUCCUGGGUUGGGAAGAGAAGAAACCAUAGGGACAACUCUGGGGACUUGGGCAAUAGGAGCCCUUACCCUGUGUCUCCAGGAUCCUGCCGUUCAUGUGUUGUAGUUCCAGUGACAGUCUCUGUGUCCCUAUGAGGGCUCCUUCAUGCAUUCAGAAAUACAGCAAGAUCAGGAAACACCACCACCCGUACAGGUUGGAGGUGUCCUCACUCUGAAGGUAACAGAUUCCUCAGGGACGUUGUGGAGUGGGAGAUGUAAGCGUUUCAGGAUCUAAGUCUGAGGACCUCAGAUACGUAAGACACAGGUGGAGAAAAGACAGCAACCCAGGAGGCAGGAGAAAGCAGGCGAGCAUGGCAUCUUAAGAGAUCACUCACUCUGGGACAAGCCACUACCAUGCUCUGAGGGCACUCAAGAAGUCCUAUGGAGAAGCCCACGUGGUAAGAAGCCGAGCCUCCUGCCAAGAGUUCGUGAGUCAAGCCUUCAGAUGAUUGCAGCCUUGGCCAGCGUCUUGACAGCAACCUCAUGAGUGACUCUGAGCCCAAAUCACCCAGUUAAGCUACUCUUGAAUUCCUGACUCACAGAAAUUAUAAGAUCAUAAAUGUUUGUUGUUUUAAACCACUAAGUUUGGGGGUGAUUUGUUAUGCAGAAGUAGAUAAUGCACUGUUCAAAUGAAAAAGGGUACUCGUCCUCUACACUUAUACAUAGUAUAUAUUUGCACAUGGACUUUUACACACAUACAUGCAUUAUUUUAUUCUAUUACUGGAUGAAGAAUUUGUGGACUUCAUAAUUAAGAGUCUACUUGUGUGAAUAUAGAUAAGGUUCCCUUACCUGUGGAAGAAACUAUUAUACAUGUAUAUAUCUUUCCCAUUUCCUUCUCAACACCUAAUCUUUGUGGAAUAGAAAGUGAAAUGUGUUCUGAGAAGGAAGGAAAAAGAACUAAUACUACAGUAUUUCUUGAUAUGGUAACUGCUCAAAUUUGCCUUAGUUCUUUGUAUGUAGGAAUAGAGUGGAUUGAAUGGAGCAAACUCCUUGUAGUAUUUUACCAUUUUAUUUCUAAGGUGAUGAUGCAAAAGUGUCAGAAGCCAGAUUUUUCCAGUUAACUACUAUAACCUUUAUAUAUGCUUUAAAUGGAAUAGUUCAUAAUAACACCUGGAAUUGUAGGAGUGACAUAUGGAAUCCAGAAAGAUCUUUGAAAUGAAAUUAAGCAAUAGUCAAGGGGCAAAAGUCAGUAGGAAUGAGGGUUAAAGGAAGACUAAAUAAAUUCCUUCUCAAAUGGUAUCAGCAGAUUUGUUUGGUUAUCAGCUUGCACAUAUUUAACCCAACAUAUAAACAAGGGGGGCUAAGUAAUAUCUUUGGAUAAUACUGGUAGGCAUAAAGCACAAGAAGUAGAAAAUAAAAAACAGAGAGAAAGGGAGUGGGGAAAGAAAAAAGGUUAAAAAAUAAAGAAAAUCCAUGGUACAGUAUGAGUAUUCACAUGCAUAUUCCUUGGAUUCUCAACCGCAUUCCAAAUUUGCGGACAAUGCUGGUAACCUGGCCAAAUCUCAUUUUCCAAGCCUCUGUCUUGCUUUAGGCCUUCACUAAACAAAUAGCUCACUGUCAGCCUGCAAAUGAGUACUGACCUCCCCAGCUUGGGCCCACAUGAAAUUAGGCUCAGACUAGAGGAGAAAUUAAGAAACUUCCUACUCCCCCACCCCCACCCCAGCAAAGGUCUCAAAACAUAGUUUCUUUUUCCUUUUUAUAUCAUUUUUGUUUAGUAAGCUUGUGACUCCGUUGUGGAUGGGAAGGCUGUAUGUGCUAGAGCAUAUGCCACGAAUAAGCUCUGUUGGACUGUGCAAUUUUUCUUAGCCCACAUUAUCAUAGUUAUCUUAGGUGAUAAAUCUGUAUGGUUGAAAUUUGGAGACCAGGUCCCUGGUGCUGCUGGUUCUAGGAUCAAACUGUAGAGUAUCAGAGAUAGUUCUCUAGGCUUGCAUAGUUUAAGCAUAAACUUGUCCUGUAUCGUGCUUAUUAAUCUUUGUAUCAUAAAUAUGACCAAAAGUCAAGACCAUGUCAUAAACUUAAUAGCACUAAUGAAGGAACAAAAUAUUUGAGAAUUCCUGAAAAAUCUAGCAUGCUUUCCGGUCAUAUGUAUGAGGGGAGAUGUUGAGAAAACCAAAUUUUUUCUAAGACAAGAGAAGUUGUGUGCAGACAACGUAUAUUUUAAAGGUAAAUUAUCUGGUUCCUUUUAGAAGAGUGAAGAACAAUUGUUAAACACUUCAUUGGCUUUCUUAUUAUCCUAUAUGUAGGCUACGUAAGCAUAUGCUUGAGUAAUCAUUUCCUGACUUGGAAUGAACCCAGAAGAGAUGGCUUGCCUAGAGGUCAGGAGGUUAGCCUUGGAGCCUUCUGGAUCCAGGGAGGAAGCUACCACAGAAUCUUCAUAAAGUGUUCUCUUAUUAAAAAUGUAACCUGUGGUGGUACCUGCUUUCCAACUAAGAAGAUGUUACACGAUGUAUCUAAUGGUGCAAUUUAAACCCUCCAAGGGGAGAUUAAGCAGAUAUUUUUAAUCAAGGUGCCAUCCUCCUCACUCCACAAAUCCCACUGUUUGAAGCAGCCUAACUCAAGCCAUUUCUAACGUGAUUGGGUGGUUUUUCCAUUGUUAACGAAGCUAAAUUUUAACUGAGUUCUAUCUGACUUUUAUCUGAAUUUCAUCAGAACAUUACGGUCAUGGCUUUUUAAAAAUGUAUUUCCUUUGAUUAUCCUUCCCAUUUUAUAGCCCUUCCAAAUUGUAGAGAAAAUUGAGCUAGAAGUGUUUUCUUCCUCCAGGGCACAUUGCUGAUAUUUCUUGACUCAUCUCACUGAGACAUGACACAGACCCUCAGAAGACAGUGUUCUAGGAGUCGUUCAGCUGUGACCAAGAAUCUCCAAUUCUCUUUCUUAGUAGCUGAAACAGGAAACUUUGUUUUUUACCUCGACAUCUGCUCCUGUUUUCAUGAUUCAUGAAUAUAGUGGUGCAAAAACUUUUCAGUGGUUUCUUAGAUAAAACACCACAAGCAUAAGCAACAACAAAAGAAAAAAUAGAUAAACUGGACUUCAUCAAACCUUAAAACUUUUGUGUUCCAAAGAACAGCACCAAGAAAGUGAAAACACAACCCACAGAAUGGGAGAAGAUACUUGAAAUCAUAUAUCUGAUAAGGACUCAUAUGUAGAAUAAUGAACUCUUACACCUCAAUAAUAAAAAGACAACCCAACUAAAAAAAUGGACAAAAUCUCUGAAUAAAGGAAACGACAGAUGUUGGUG